GGCUGGUCUGAAGGUAGAGUUAUCUCAACUGAUUGUUUAUGGUUAUAGACCUGAACCGUUGUUCUACUCUUUACCCCCUCCCCACUACUUCACUUGACUAGUCUUAU
rnacentral:Y_RNA from 1 species